UCUCCUCUCAAUAGGCUCCAGUCUUGAUACACUAACAGUGCUUGGUUCUCAUAAAGGUGACGUCAUUCCACUAGCUAAUGACAGUUCUUUAAUACACCUCACUCUUCACUCCUCCUCAUCUCAGCAACAAUCUCUGGCUCUCUCUUCAGUCUUCAGUAUAGAACCAAACUUGGAGUUCUUUCAGUUUGAUGACACUCUUCCAUAAUAAUGUCUGGAAGAUGAAUGGCGUCCUGUUCACUCUCACUGAGGAUGGGAUUAUGUUGGUCUACAGUGUCUCUAAUGCUAUGAUCAUUGCUGCCAUUCACCCACUGGAAUACUGUAGAAUGUUUAGCUAUAACACUCCAGAUGGUCCCUCUCUCUUACAAACUCUGUUUUUGUCAUCAUUUCAUAAAAUCUUGGUCUCUCCUGAUCUAGGAGUGUCUCUUAAUUCAUUGGAUCAAUGUUCCCUCCCACUCAAUGCACUGGAGACUGGAACUGAGACAUAGUGUCAUUCUUCCUUAGGAAUAGAGUUAUAAACAGAACAGAACAAAGUAAGAUACUAUAGGCAGCCAU